CCCGCUGAACUUAAGCAUAUCAAUAAGCGGAGGAAAAGAAACUAACAAGGAUUCCCCUAGUAACUGCGAGUGAAGCGGGAAAAGCUCAAAUUUAAAAUCUGGCAGUGGCUCGACUGCCCGAGUUGUAAUCUAGAGAAGUGUUGCUCACACUGGACCAUGUAUAAGUCUUCUGGAAUGAAGCGUCAUAGAGGGUGAGAAUCCCGUCUUUGACAUGGACUCCCCAGUGUAUUUGUAGUAUGCUCUCAAAGAGUCGAGUUGUUUGGGAAUGCAGCUCUAAAUGGGUGGUAACCUCCAUCUAAAGCUAAAUACUGGCGAGAGACCGAUAGUGAACAAGUACCGUGAGGGAAAGAUGAAAAGAACUUUGGAAAGAGAGUUAAAAAGUACGUGAAAUUGUUGAAAGGGAAACGCUUGAAGUCAGUCACAUUGGCCAGGGAUCAACUUGCUUAAGUGUACUUCCUGGUUGAUGGGCCAACAUCAGCUUUGACUGUCAGAGAAGGGUAGGGGGAAUGUGGCACCCUCCUGGGUGUGUUAUAGCCCUCUGUCAUAUAUGGCCGUUGGGGCUGAGGAAUGCAGCGCGCCACAAGGCCGGGUUUCGACCACGUUCGCGCUUAGGAUGUUGGCAUAAUGGCUUUAAUCGACCCGUCUUGAAACACGG
rnacentral:rRNA from 1 species